GGGACCCGCACAAGCGGUGGAUGAUGUGGUUUAAUUCGAUGCAACGCGAAAAACCUUACCUACCCCUGACAUGCCUGGAAUCCUGCAGAGAUGUGGGAGUGCUCGAAAGAGAACCAGGACACAGGUGCUGCAUGGCCGUCGUCAGCUCGUGUCGUGAGAUGUUGGGUUAAGUCCCGCAACGAGCGCAACCCUUGUCAUUAGUUGCUACGAAAGGGCACUCUAAUGAGACUGCCGGUGACAAACCGGAGGAAGGUGGGGAUGACGUCAGGUCCUCAUGGCCCUUAUGGGUAGGGCUACACACGUCAUACAAUGGCCGGUACAGAGGGCUGCCAACCCGCGAGGGGGAGCUAAUCCCAGAAAACCGGUCGUAGUCCGGAUCGCAGUCUGCAACUCGACUGCGUGAAGUCGGAAUCGCUAGUAAUCGCGGAUCAGCUUGCCGCGGUGAAUACGUUCCCGGGUCUUGUACACACCGCCCGUCACACCAUGGGAGCGGGUUCUGCCAGAAGUAGUUAGCCUAACCGCAAGGAGGGCGAUUACCACGGCAGGGUUCGUGACUGGGGUGAAGUCGUAACAAGGUAGCCGUAUCGGAAGGUGCGGCUGGAUCACCUCCUU
rnacentral:rRNA from 1 species